rnacentral:rRNA from 1 species
GAUGAACGCUGGCGGCGUGCCUAAUACAUGCAAGUCGAACGCUUCACUUCGGUGAAGAGUGGCGAACGGGUGAGUAAUACAUAAGUAACCUGGCAUCUACAGGGGGAUAACUGAUGGAAACGUCAGCUAAGACCGCAUAGGUGUAGAGAUCGCAUGAACUCUAUAUGAAAAGUGCUACGGGACUGGUAGAUGAUGGACUUAUGGCGCAUUAGCUUGUUGGUAGGGUAACGGCCUACCAAGGCGACGAUGCGUAGCCGACCUGAGAGGGUGACCGGCCACACUGGGACUGAGACACGGCCCAGACUCCUACGGGAGGCAGCAGUAGGGAAUUUUCGGCAAUGGGGGAAACCCUGACCGAGCAACGCCGCGUGAAGGAAGAAGUAAUUCGUUAUGUAAACUUCUGUCAUAGAGGAAGAACGGUGGAUAUAGGGAAUGAUAUCCAAGUGACGGUACUCUAUAAGAAAGCCACGGCUAACUACGUGCCAGCGGCCGCGGUAAUACGUAGGUGGCGAGCGUUAUCCGGAAUUAUUGGGCGUAAAGAGGGAGCAGGCGGCACUAAGGGUCUGUGGUGAAAGAUCGAAGCUUAACUUCGGUAAGCCAUGGAAACCGUAGAGCUAGAGUGUGUGAGAGGAUCGUGGAAUUCCAUGUGUAGCGGUGAAAUGCGUAGAUAUAUGGAGGAACACCAGUGGCGAAGGCGACGAUCUGGCGCAUAACUGACGCUCAGUCCCGAAAGCGUGGGGAGCAAAUAGGAUUAGAUACCCUAGUAGUCCACGCCGUAAACGAUGAGUACUAAGUGUUGGGUGUCAAAGCUCAGUGCUGCAGUUAACGCAAUAAGUACUCCGCCUGAGUAGUACGUUCGCAAGAAUGAAACUCAAAGGAAUUGACGGGGGCCCGCACAAGCGGUGGAGCAUGUGGUUUAAUUCGAAGCAACGCGAAGAACCUUACCAGGUCUUGACAUCGAUCUAAAGGCUCCAGAGAUGGAGAGAUAGCUAUAGAGAAGACAGGUGGUGCAUGGUUGUCGUCAGCUCGUGUCGUGAGAUGUUGGGUUAAGUCCCGCAACGAGCGCAACCCCCGUUGCCAGUUGCCAGCAUUAAGUUGGGGACUCUGGCGAGACUGCCGGUGACAAGCCGGAGGAAGGCGGGGAUGACGUCAAAUCAUCAUGCCCCUUAUGACCUGGGCUACACACGUGCUACAAUGGACAGAGCAGAGGGAAGCGAAGCCGCGAGGUGGAGCGAAACCCAUAAAACUGUUCUCAGUUCGGACUGCAGUCUGCAACUCGACUGCACGAAGAUGGAAUCGCUAGUAAUCGCGAAUCAGCAUGUCGCGGUGAAUACGUUCUCGGGCCU